CCGAGUUUACAACUCCCAAACCCCUGCUGAACCUAUCCUUCACUGUUGCUUCGGCGGGAUCCGCCCCGCUCGGGGCGCGUGCGUCCUAACCAUCCGGAGCGGGCCCGCCCGCCGGAGGAUGCCCUAAACUCUGUUUGUAUAUCCGUAAUCCUCUGAGUAAACACAUAAAUAAAUCCA
rnacentral:misc_RNA from 1 species